rnacentral:rRNA from 1 species
UGGAUAGCGCAGGUAAUCAGACUUCCAAGAAAAACCGCUAAGCUUCAGGUUAUAAAAACCCGUACCGCAAACCGACACAGGUAUCCGGGAAGAGAAUUCUAAGGCGCUCGAGUGAAUCAUGGCUAAGGAACUCGGCAAAAUGGCCCUGUAACUUCGGGAGAAGGGGCGCUGGCAGCAAUGUCAGCCGCAGUGAAAAGGCCCA